rnacentral:rRNA from 1 species
AGUGAACGCUGGCGGUAGGCCUAACACAUGCAAGUCGAACGGCAGCACAGUAAGAGCUUGCUCUUACGGGUGGCGAGUGGCGGACGGGUGAGGAAUACAUCGGAAUCUACUUUUUCGUGGGGGAUAACGUAGGGAAACUUACGCUAAUACCGCAUACGACCUACGGGUGAAAGCAGUGGAUCUUCGUACCUUGCGCGAUUGAAUGAGCCGAUGUCGGAUUAGCUAGUUGGCGGGGUAAAGGCCCACCAAGGCGACGAUCCGUAGCUGGUCUGAGAGGAUGAUCAGCCACACUGGAACUGAGACACGGUCCAGACUCCUACGGGAGGCAGCAGUGGGGAAUAUUGGACAAUGGGCGAAAGCCUGAUCCAGCCAUACCGCGUGGGUGAAGAAGGCCUUCGGGUUGUAAAGCCCUUUUGUUGGGAAAGAAAAGCAGCAGGUUAAUACCCCGCUGUUCUGACGGUACCCGAAGAAUAAGCACCGGCUAACUUCGUG